GACGAACGCUGGCGGCGUGCCUAAUACAUGCAAGUCGAGCGCUGAAGGUCGGUACUUGUACCAACUGGGUGAGCAGCGAGCGGGUGAGUAACGCGUGGGGAAUCUGCCUUUGAGCGGGGGACAACAUUGGGAAACGAAUGCUAAUACCGCAUAAAAACUUUAAACACAAGUUUUAAGUUUGAAAGAUGCAAUUGCAUCACUCAAAGAUGAUCCCGCGUUGUAUUAGCUAGUUGGUGAGGUAAAGGCGCUCCAAGGCGAGGAUACAUAGCCGACCUGAGAGGGUGGUCGGCCGCACUGGGACUGAGACACGCCCCAAUCUCCUAGAGGAGGCAGCCGUAGGGCAUCUUCGGCAAGGGGCGAAAGUCUGAGCGAGCAGCGCCGCGUGAGUAAGGAGGGUUGUCGGGUCGUAAAACUCUGUUGGUAGGGAAGAACGUUGGUGAGAGUGGAACGCUCAUCAAGUGACGGUAACUGGUCAGAAAGCGACGGCUAACUACGUG
rnacentral:rRNA from 1 species